rnacentral:rRNA from 1 species
CUCGAUGAGUAGGGCGGGACACGUGGUAUCCUGUCUGAAUAUGGGGGGACCAUCCUCCAAGGCUAAAUACUCCUGACUGACCGAUAGUGAACCAGUACCGUGAGGGAAAGGCGAAAAGAACCCCGGCGAGGGGAGUGAAAAAGAACCUGAAACCGUGUACGUACAAGCAGUGGGAGCACCCUUUGGGGUGUGACUGCGUACCUUUUGUAUAAUGGGUCAGCGACUUAUAUUCUGUAGCAAGGUUAACCGUAUAGGGGAGCCGCAGGGAAACCGAGUCUUAACCGGGCGUUAAGUUGCAGGGUAUAGACCCGAAACCCGGUGAUCUAGCCAUGGGCAGGUUGAAGGUUGGGUAACACUAACUGGAGGACCGAACCGACUAAUGUUGAAAAAUUAGCGGAUGACCUGUGGCUGGGGGUGAAAGGCCAAUCAAACCGGGAGAUAGCUGGUUCUCCCCGAAAGCUAUUUAGGUAGCGCCUCGUGAAUUCAUCUCCGGGGGUAGAGCACUGUUUCGGCUAGGGGGCCAUCCCGGCUUACCAACCCGAUGCAAACUGCGAAUACCGGAGAAUGUUAUCACGGGAGACACACGGCGGGUGCUAACGUCCGUCGUGAAGAGGGAAACAACCCAGACCGCCAGCUAAGGUCCCAAAGUCAUGGUUAAGUGGGAAACGAUGUGGGAAGGCCCAGACAGCCAGGAUGUUGGCUUAGAAGCAGCCAUCAUUUAAAGAAAGCGUAAUAGCUCACUGGUCGAGUCGGCCUGCGCGGAAGAUGUAACGGGGCUAAACCAU